rnacentral:rRNA from 1 species
GGGGAAUUUUGGACAAUGGGCGAAAGCCUGAUCCAGCAAUGCCGCGUGUGUGAAGAAGGCCUUCGGGUUGUAAAGCACUUUUGUCCGGACAGAAAACGCCUUGGUUAAUACCCGUUGCGGAUGACGUUACCGGCAGCAUCAGCACCGUCUAACUACGUGCCAGCAGGCGCGGUAAUACGUAGGGUGCAAGCGUUAAUCGGAAUUACUGGGCGUAAAGCGUGCGCAGGCGGUCCGCUAAGACAGAUGUGAAAUCCCCGGGCUUAACCUGGGAACUGCAUUUGUGACUGGCGGGCUAGAGUAUGGCAGAGGGGGGUAGAAUUCCACGUGUAGCAGUGAAAUGCGUAGAGAUGUGGAGGAAUACCGAUGGCGAAGGCAGCCCCCUGGGCCAAUACUGACGCUCAUGCACGAAAGCGUGGGGAGCAAACAGG